rnacentral:rRNA from 1 species
UUGGAUGUAACUUUGGUGGCGGACGGGUGAGUAACACGUGAGAAUUUACCUUUAGGAGGGGAAUAACAGUUGGAAACGACUGCUAAUGCCGCAUAUCAUAACUAUGAAAGAAGAAAUUCGCCUAAAGAAAAGCUUGCGUCUGAUUAGCUAGUUGGUAAGGGUAAAGGCCUACCAAGGCGACGAUCAGUAGCUGGUUUGAGAGGACGACCAGUCACACUGGAACUGAGACACGGUCCAGACUCCUACGGGAGGCAGCAGUGGGGAAUUUUCUGCAAUGGGCGAAAGCCUGACAGAGCAAUACCGCGUGAGGGAAGAAAGCCCACAGGGUUGUAAACCUCUUUUGUCAAGGAAGAAGUUCUGACGUUACUUGACGAAUAAGCAUCGGCUAACUCCGUGCCAGCAGCCGCGGUAAGACGGGGGAUGCAAGUGUUAUCCGGAAUCACUGGGCGUAAAGCGUUUGUAGGUGGUUUAGUAAGUCUAUUGUUAAAGCUUGAAGCUCAACUUCAAAAAUGUAAUAGAAACUACUAGACUUGAGGAUAGUAGGGGUAAAGGGAAUUUCCAGUGGAGCGGUGAAAUGCGUAGAGAUUGGAAGGACCACCGAUGGCGAAGGCACUUUACUGGGCUAUUUCUGACACUAAGAGACGAAAGCU